ensembl:lncRNA
AUGUCCUGCUCUGCUUCAACUGGCCCACUCUCUGUGGGCUGUCCGAUCAAUUCAGGUGAGAUGAACCAGGUACAUCAGUUGGAAAUGCAGAAAUCUCGCAUCUUCUGCCUCAGUCAUGCUGGGAGCUGCAGACUGGAGCUGUUCCUAUUCAGCCAUCUUGGAACAGAACCCAUUUUUUCUGCAUUUUUACAAAACUUGAUUACGGACCAAAGGAGCCUACGUGGGAAACACUUUGGGGACCCCUUCACUUAGCCUCCCUUAGGAAAAUAUGCCACAGUUCAAUGGCUGGAAGGUGGCUUCAGUGCUCUUAUGGAACUGGAAUGUAAUAGCCCAUAAGAACUGUUUGUUUUUUCAAAUUUUGUGAGUUGUUUAUCAUUCAGUGGCAUUAUUAAUAAUUAUAAAAAUUUAUAAUCUAAUAAAUGAUAAUAGAAACAAAAGCAACACACACUCCACAUAUAACUUCCAUAUUGAUUACAUUUUACUAUUUUCUAUGCACUUGUGGCAAUUUAAAUCUAUUGUAUCAGUAUGGUGGAGCUAUUAUAUAAUAAUGUACUACUAUGCAUUUAGUACAAUCAAUUUUACCAAUACAAAGAAUAUAUGACACAAAAUUUACAUGUAAUGAUAAAAUAUAUAGUACAGUACAGCAAAUUUCCUUUAGCCAAAUGAGGAUCACAAAAUGCUUUGUUAAUCUUUAUUGAACUCUUGCUUCUGUAGUCAAUAUAUUGUUGAAAUUCACAAAUCAGUGCAAAUCCAAUAUUGAUGUUUGCAUGUAUUUUCCUUUACACAUUUAGUGAGUAGAAAGUAGAAAGUGAAACGGUAAAAACUUAGGUUGUAAAUUUACCUAUUUGAAAAUAACAUCAAACUGGAAUCUUUCCAACUUUAUAUUUAGUACAAUCAAAUUGGAAGCUCAACAUUAGCCAAGGUGGUAGUAUUUACACCAUGAACAUUGGCAAAUGCUACAAAUCAGGGUUUCAUUUAUAUUCUUGACUUAAUGAAAUGAUACAUAAUUUGUUAAUUAUGUUUAGAAAACAUAAAAUUGCAUUAGAUAUAGCCAUUACACUGAAUAGCGCAAACAUUUGAAAAAUUGUCUUACGUAAUUUCUCAAGAAAAAAAAAAUACACACAUACACACACACACACACACAGAGAGAGAGUAUGCAUUGCUUAAUGACAAGGAUAUGUCAGAUAUGUUUCAAGAAAUGUGUUGUUAUUUGAUUUCAUUGUGUGGACAUCAUAGUGUAUUUCAGUAGACUACAUGGUGCAACCUAUUGCUCCUAGGCUACAUAAUGGUACAGCAUGUUACUGCACUCAAUACUAUACGCAAUACAAUGGUUUUGUGUAUUUUAAACAUACCUAAACAUAGAAAAGUUAUAGUAAAAAUGCAGUACUAUAAUCUGUGGUACCACUAUCAUGUAUGAAUAAACCAUCCUUUAGCAGCUCAUGACUCUGUGUGUGUGUGUGUGUGUGUGUGUGUGUGUGUGUACACAUAUAGAGGGAGGAGAGAUUUUAACUAAUUGACUCAUGAAAUUCUGGAAGUAGAAAUGUCCAGUACUCAUAGACCUCACAGACAGGCUAGAAAA